rnacentral:rRNA from 1 species
AUUGAACGCUGGCGGCAGGCUUAACACAUGCAAGUCGAGCGAGCGGCGGACGGGUGAGUAAUGUCUGGGAAACUGCCCGAUGGAGGGGGAUAACUACUGGAAACGGUAGCUAAUACCGCAUACCCUCAGAUGUGCCCAGAUGGGAUUAGCUAGUAGGUGGGGUAAUGGCUCACCUAGGCUACGAUCCCUCGCUGGUCUGAGAGGAUGAACAUCCACACUGGAACGGAGACACGGUCCAGACUCCUACGGUAGGCAGCAGUGGGGAAUAUUGCACAAUGGGCGCAAGCCUGAUGCAGCCAUGCCGCGUGUGUGAAGAAGGCCUUCGUGUUGUAAAGCACUUUCAGCGGGGAGGCGUUACUCGAAGAAGAAGCACCGGCUAACUCCGUGCCAGCAGCCGCGGUAAUAG